rnacentral:rRNA from 1 species
ACGCUCGACACCUACGGGACAGCAGUAGGGAAUCUUCCACAAUGGACGCAAGUCUGAUGGAGCAACGCCGCGUGAGUGAAGAAGGUCUUCGGAUCGUAAAACUCUGUUGUUAGAGAAGAACACGAGUGAGAGUAACUGUUCAUUCGAUGACGGUAUCUAACCAGCAAGUCACGGCUAACUACGUGCUAGCAGCCGCGGUAAUCUGAGCGGGCUGGCAAGGC